AGAGCAUCGAGCCCCGGUCUUGCUGACCUCAGGGUGAUGGCCCUGAAAGGGGGACGGGACCAGCUUGGGGCUAGUCUGAAGGAAGACACAGAGACAAGAGAGCCCCUUGAGAGACAGGGUCAGGGGCCUGAACGAGGGGCUAUGGAGGGUUCGUACAGCCCUGGAGACCAUGGGCUACUGGGUUGCUAAGUGCUGGAAACACCUGCAUGUCCCCCAGGCACCACGGCAGCUCUGAGAAGAGGACUCUGUGAGGGGAGGGCGGAAAUGGGGAAGCUGGGAUACAGAAGAUCAGGGAGAGCAAAAGGGGAGUGCCUCGCCCCUCCCAGGGGCCUCGUUCCUAUGGCAACACUCCCAAUGAAGCUCUUGGAAGAAAAAGCAGGAGAAUCGUCAUUGCUCCCCAGGCCUCAGAUGCAGCGUCUCACCCUCCACAUCUGGCUCCGGCCAAAGCCCUGAAAUGCCAGGGCCAGCGCUGGGGAAGGCACUCUGUGUGCUCUGGCCCAUGAGUGAGCCUGGCAUCUCCCUCCCCCAAGGCCACAAAGAUAAGAGGCCUAAAGAACAGCUCCCAGGAGCAGCCUGGCUGUGCUAAUCACAGCGAGUUCCGAGGCCCUCUUCCCUAACACCUGUCUGCAAGCCCCAAAUUAUCACCGGGAGGGAGAAGGAAUGCCUCCUUCAGACACAGCCUCCCUUGCUCCUUCGCUGAGAGGCUGCCACAGGCCAGGUUCAAACUCCAUUCCUUUGGCCCCCACCACCUGGGUGCCACGCUCACUUGCUUUCCCACAUUGUUUACAAAGUUCCUUUUGCCUGGCAACCGCCAGGCCGGGUGUGGGGGACAGUGGGCAACAUAACUGGAGGCCUGUCCACGUGAGGCAUGCAGCGUGGUGAGUGAGGCAAACGGCAGCCAAGGACUCGCGGGAGCAUCUGAUUACGCACGGGGUGAACGCUGGAGCACCUACUAUCCUGCAGGCUCCAGGGGACAAGAGCCCAAGUGAGGCUGCCAGGCGGGAGGCUGCUGCAGGGGACCAGGUUGGCUCAGAAAACCGGAGGUGAAGCUGAAGCAGCCCAGCUGGCCCUAAGAAGCCCUGGACGCUCCCUCCCAUCCUCACAUCGUUGAGUCAAUGCUAUUAUUUGAAUGUCUGUGUCCCCUCCAAAAUUCAUGUUGGAACUUAAUCCUUAAGGAGCAGUUUUAAGAGAUGGGGCCUUUAGGUCAUGAGGGCUCUGCUCUAUGAAUGGAUUAGUGUCUUAUAAAAGGGCUUGAGGGGGCCAGUUCCCCCCUCUUCAGUCCCAUAUGCCAUGUGAAGACACAGUUCAUGGUGCCAUCUUGGAAGCAGAGAGCAACCCUUAACAGACACUGAACAAGCCCGUGCCUUGAUCUUGGACUUCACAGCGUCCAGAACAGUGAGAAAUAAAUUUCUGUUGUUUACAAAUUA